rnacentral:rRNA from 1 species
AAAUUGAAGAGUUUGAUCAUGGCUCAGAUUGAACGCUGGCGGCAGGCCUAACACAUGCAAGUCGAGCGGUAGCACAGAGAGCUUGCUCUCGGGUGACGAGCGGCGGACGGGUGAGUAAUGUCUGGGAAACUGCCUGAUGGAGGGGGAUAACUACUGGAAACGGUAGCUAAUACCGCAUAACGUCGCAAGACCAAAGUGGGGGACCUUCGGGCCUCAUGCCAUCAGAUGUGCCCAGAUGGGAUUAGCUAGUAGGUGGGGUAACGGCUCACCUAGGCGACGAUCCCUAGCUGGUCUGAGAGGAUGACCAGCCACACUGGAACUGAGACACGGUCCAGACUCCUACGGGAGGCAGCAGUGGGGAAUAUUGCACAAUGGGCGCAAGCCUGAUGCAGCCAUGCCGCGUGUGUGAAGAAGGCCUUCGGGUUGUAAAGCACUUUCAGCGGGGAGGAAGGCGAUAAGGUUAAUAACCUUGUCGAUUGACGUUACCCGCAGAAGAAGCACCGGCUAACUCCGUGCCAGCAGCCGCGGUAAUACGGAGGGUGCAAGCGUUAAUCGGAAUUACUGGGCGUAAAGCGCACGCAGGCGGUCUGUCAAGUCGGAUGUGAAAUCCCCGGGCUCAACCUGGGAACUGCAUUCGAAACUGGCAGGCUAGAGUCUUGUAGAGGGGGGUAGAAUUCCAGGUGUAGCGGUGAAAUGCGUAGAGAUCUGGAGGAAUACCGGUGGCGAAGGCGGCCCCCUGGACAAAGACUGACGCUCAGGUGCGAAAGCGUGGGGAGCAAACAGGAUUAGAUACCCUGGUAGUCCACGCCGUAAACGAUGUCGAUUUGGAGGUUGUGCCCUUGAGGCGUGGCUUCCGGAGCUAACGCGUUAAAUCGACCGCCUGGGGAGUACGGCCGCAAGGUUAAAACUCAAAUGAAUUGACGGGGGCCCGCACAAGCGGUGGAGCAUGUGGUUUAAUUCGAUGCAACGCGAAGAACCUUACCUGGUCUUGACAUCCACAGAACUUUCCAGAGAUGGAUUGGUGCCUUCGGGAACUGUGAGACAGGUGCUGCAUGGCUGUCGUCAGCUCGUGUUGUGAAAUGUUGGGUUAAGUCCCGCAACGAGCGCAACCCUUAUCCUUUGUUGCCAGCGGUUAGGCCGGGAACUCAAAGGAGACUGCCAGUGAUAAACUGGAGGAAGGUGGGGAUGACGUCAAGUCAUCAUGGCCCUUACGACCAGGGCUACACACGUGCUACAAUGGCAUAUACAAAGAGAAGCGACCUCGCGAGAGCAAGCGGACCUCAUAAAGUAUGUCGUAGUCCGGAUUGGAGUCUGCAACUCGACUCCAUGAAGUCGGAAUCGCUAGUAAUCGUAGAUCAGAAUGCUACGGUGAAUACGUUCCCGGGCCUUGUACACACCGCCCGUCACACCAUGGGAGUGGGUUGCAAAAGAAGUAGGUAGCUUAACCUUCGGGAGGGCGCUUACCACUUUGUGAUUCAUGACUGGGGUGAAGUCGUAACAAGGUAACCGUAGGGGAACCUGCGGUU